GCGUUUCCAGUGAGAUAAAUAGAACCUAUCCAUCCCAUUGAUAAUAACGUAUGUUAAAAAAAUAAUAGUAAUAAACACACUAGAUAUAGAGGAAAUACCAUUGAUUGGAUAGAUUUCCUUUAAUCAAUAUUUUAUUUCUGGAGUGUGCUUUUAAUUUCUCAAAGUGCUUUUACAUAUAUUAUCUCAUUUGAUUUACACAAUGCUUCUAUGUAGCAGGAAGCAGGCAUUUCAUUUUGUAUCACAGAUGGAGAAACCAAGGCUAUUAGUUCAGGGGAUGUGGUGGCCUUGCUAGAGGUCAGACCUCAGACUUCUGCGUCUCCAACCUGUGCCUCUUCCACACCCUGACCCUGUCCCUCUUCAAAAGUCUCACCCUACAUUGGGCGAAAACGUGCGUUUUUAUUAACUUGGCAUCAGGGACUGGACCACGGAAAACUGCAUAGAUGAAUUUCUUGUGUCACUGCCCAGAAUUUCUUGUGUCUCGCUGUCUCUCUUUCUCUUCCAUAAUGUGAAAAAAAAUUUUUUUUGCCUUCUCCUGGCCCUUUAAAGUUGUUUCCGCAGAAGGAGAUAUAGAGCCACUCUAGAUUGCAUUUCAGGGUUGGUCGCUGGAGCGGGAAAGGUGACCACGGCAGCUCAGGGGGCCAUCUAUUUUAAUCCGGUGGCACAUGCUCAGGAGAAGGAUCACCCCUGGAAGCAGGAAGAUUCAAGUUCCAGGGAGCACACAUGGGCCGACAGGGAUGACUUUCCCAGUGCGGGUUCCCACUCAAACUCAGAAUGUCUAUUGUCUUAUUGCUUCAGUUGUGGCCAAGGUCUGAGCUGCUGCCUGGGUCUCACUCUUUAGAAACCCCAGCCAUGCCCGCAAGUGGCCCGACUGUGGCUGCACCGAGAAUCUUUGUGCAAGAUUCUGCAUAGUGUAUAGAAAAACCAGAAUCCGGUUGCCCAAGUCACAUGCCAGACAAAGCCCCCAGGGUCACUGCUAAAUGUCCAUCGACAGAUGAAUGGAUUAAGAAGAUGUGGUACAUAUACACAAUGGAAUACUACUCAGCCAUAAAAAGAAAAAAAUAAUGCCAUUUGCAACAACAUGGAUGGAGCUAGAGACUCUCAUACUAAGUGAAGUAAGUCAGAAAGAGAAAGACAAAUACCAUAUGGUAUCACUUAUAUCUGGAAUCUAAUAUAUGGCACAAAUAAACCUUUCCACAGAAAAGAAACUCAUGGACUUGGAGAGCAGACUUGUGGUUGCCAAGGGGGCGGGGGAGGGAGUGGGAUGGACUGGAAAUCUGGGGCUAAUAGAUGCAAACUAUUGCCUUUGGAAUGGACAAGCAAUGAGAUCCUGCUGCAUAGCACUGGGACUAUAUAGCACUGGAACUAUAUCUAGUCAUUUAUGAUGGAGCAUGAUGGAGGAUAAUGCAAGAAAGAGAAUAUAUAUAUGUAUGUGUGACUGGGUUACUUUGCUGCGCAGCAGAAAACUGAGAGAAUGCUGUAAACCAACUCUAAUGGAAAAAAUAAAAAUCAUUUAAAG
rnacentral:lncRNA from 1 species